AAACAAAAAUAAACACACACACACACACGCAAAGCCUAGGGGAAACAUUCAAGUAACAGAUCAAGGCACUGAAAUAAAAGUUUAAGCAAUGGUAAUCCUAAUUAUUAUCAUUAAGUAAAAGCAAUUUUUUACCACAUUGUUGUAAGAGGGUGGUGACUCCAUAGUAAAUGAGAACUGAGGCCUGAAUAUUAAUAGGACUGACUUUCUGCCAACAUGGCCCUUGCUCUGAGGGCCUGGCUUCUUGUUAAGUGAUGGCCUGUGGCUCCCAGUGCAGGCUGGGCUCUGGCCUCUGGGCCUGAGGGAAAUGGGGUUGCUUUGAAACCCAGUGUUCUUAAUGAAGCAGUUCCUGACCCUGAAAUGUGCGAGAGAAUAACCUAGAAGUGCGAUGAAAAACUGGUCUAUUGAAAAGUUAGUGACACUUCCAGGGUUGAUUUUAAAAUAAUAGAUUUGUUUUAUUUUGGUAAAUGAUUUAAUAAAACAUAACGUCAAAGAAAUUAUCCAGUGUGUUUCAUGUCCUGCAGCCUGGAAUAUCUAAACUGUAUGCUUAUAAAUGAACAUCAUUAUUAGUGAAAUUUUAUUGCAAAAUUUGGCCUGGAAUAUUUUGGGGGUGUCAGACUUUUAGGCGCUAUCACAGAAAUUGGCAAGAUUCAAGGGAUUGUUACUGAUUUAAUAACAUUUUUCUUUAUUGUCCCCAUAAUCACCUGCUUUAUAAACUGUGGCUACAGCUGAUGUUGCAACCGGUAAUUUUCUUAGAACCCAAAUGCAUUUACAUUUUUCCAUCUUUUGAUUUCCAUCAUUUCUGGAAGUUGUUAGUAGAUGGAAUAAAAAGAAAAUACAUUAUAAACAAUUCAAAACACCAAAAACAAAAUUCCUUGGACCUUUUCCAGAUACCACACAUGCAAAUAAAUGUGGCUUUGCAUUCCAAAGGCAUUCAAGUGGGGAUUGCAUUUUCCUCAUUAACCUCUUUUUUUUAAUCCAAACAGUAUUGUUUUUCAAGCCGUUUUAUCAAAAUCCAGUUUGACCUUUGAAAUCCAUUCACACCGACUCUAAGUGAAGAGCUACAAUGUCGUCUUUUGCUCCGCAAUCACUUGUGCAAUCCUGGUUGAACUGUGCCAAAGUGGGAACACCUGCCUACCAGUUUAGGAUGAAAUCAGGAGACUGGUUGUAUUGCACACAAAACCGAAACAUUAGAGGUACCAAGUAUGGUUUUUCCUGCACUACGAAAGAAAGGUGGAAAAAGCCAUCCAUGCAGUCCACCUGAGAUCUGAACACGCUUGCUAUCCUGUGGAAAACCAUUUACAAAAUGAAUGUACUUAUUUCUAAUAGAAGGAACACCCAAUCCGUUCUCAAUCAGCCAUAACCAAUGAUUCUUCCCCUAAUAUGUGGACCUGAAUUUGAAGCAGUGGGACUCUUCUCUUUCCCUCAGGAGAAUCAACAGAAUUAUUUAGAAAGACGGAAUGAUUUUGGUAGAAGCAGAAAUGUAACUUGCAUUUUUUGGUAACUUCUGUAAACACUUUCGCAUGGACCUGCCAUUUUUGCCCUGAUACAGAACAAAAGUGUAUGUUGUUUUCAGUGCUGAUAUUUGGCAGUGGAUGGUGAAACAUUUGUGUGUAUUUAAGUAUGUCCGUCUGAGUAAAAUGAAAGAGACAUUAAAAUCACUCUCAGUCUGGAGUGAGAGUUAAGUCAACCAAUUCUAGGAAACUCUGGAUCGGCUGUCUUCACUGCGCUGUGAGCUUAGUUUUGUCAGUUUUCUUUUUCAUCCCACCAUCUUCUCGUGCAUUGUUUUCAGGCUCCUGCAAUCCCAGCUCAAGAUGGCCUGAGUUAGAGUUGGAGAGAGAACCAGCACUAGUUUUCAUAGUAUCCACAGUUUCAAGACACACCCUAUAAUGUUAUUUGACACCAUUUUCUACAUGUGCUUUCUUUAGAAAGUGGAAAAAUACGUUAUUGAGAGUUUGUCAGCUGAAACCAUAUUGCAAAACAUUUGCAAAACUGAAUUAUUGACAAAAAUGCAUGUGAUUCCAAAAGGGCUUGAGUGAUUGAAAGCAGUUGCAGUAUUUCAACAUGAGAAUAUUGCUUGUCCUUUCUGUUGUCUGUUUUCGGAUUCCUACGGAGCAUACCUCUGGACUCCUACUGUCCCCAGAUAGCAGUUUCUACGCAGCUAACUCAGACCAGAUUAGAGCUAGAGUUUUAGAGCACUGUUAUGACUUUGAUUCCUUGAGAAAGCAUUCAGGAACACGCAUCCUCCGGUUCCCCCAGUCAUCCCUAACUCAUAGGAGGCUGAAUUCCCCUGCGUGCCUGCAGCGUCUAACAGUGCCUACUAAUUGCAUAAUCCCAUCGUCUGUUCCCAGCAUAUGCUCCGAUGCCAAGGUGCAGCGAGGCCCUCGACAGAAAAUGGUCACCUGCCAUUGAAAGCUGCCUCUGUGUGGGCCCUGCUGCUUCGGGAGGGGAGAAUAUCCCAGCUCCCCACCGGCAGACGUUCAACUGAUGCACCUCCACCCCGAUACCUUGUGGAAACAGUUUGUGAAUGAAGAAGAAAAGCAUUUACCUAAGAGGGAAGAGAAGAUGGGAAGAAAACGUUGCUGUGGAUAUUUUUUCCCUUUUACUAAAAAGGCUAUAAGCCGCAUCUUUAUAAAGAACUCCACUUUUGGGUCACACGUUUCAGGCAAUGAUUUUACUCAGCAGCUCAUUGCAGCAGGGUCUCCUCCCUCUGGAAGCUGCAAGUAUGGGACAUAAGAUAAGAGAGUAACUGGCAUUAAACUACAAUUUUCAUUCGUCUUGCUGAAGAGAGUCUGGCUGGAGGAGCCAUAGGAGGCCGUGUCCCAAGCCUUUUAUCUGCUUGUUCAUUUGAACAAACUUACUUACAUGCACUGCUGUCGUUUUCAACUUCAAAUUCUCAGAGAUUGGACAACCAAUUUCUUCCUUCUGUUCCAGACUGAGGAAUCCUUUUUUGGUACUAAGGACAGAAAAGACUUGCUUUCAACAUCAGGCUACCUUCACCACUGAUGUUUAUGACCACUUGCUCAGCAACCAAAGACUAUUUGACAAAUCAGUGUGACUGAAACACCCAGUUGCCUGUGAGCUGAUCUCAUUUAGACUGCAAACUCCAGGAGGGAGGAAAAAGAAGCACAAGGAAUUGGCUCCACUCCGAGUCUCCUGAAAUGUGGGGAAACUCUUUUCUUUGCUGUGCCGUCAGAAGGUGGCCAGUGGUCAGGGGACUUCCCAUUAAAAGACUGCAAACUGUGACUCUCCCUCAAUGCUGGAAACAUGACUUCUGCAAAACAAUAUCUGCCCUCUCAUUAGAGAGAACAGCCAAGCAAAGCUCUGUUAGCUACUAGAGGAUCUUGCGACCCACAAAUAGACUUGCUUCUGUUUGUAGCUGGGGUGCUUUUGUGUGUUCCGCCUCUGCAAAGGGCCCCACGGCCCUCCUGAACAACUCGCAGGCAGCUCCUCACUGAGCAUCCCCAGACCGUCAUCUGAAUAAGUAUAUUCAAAGGAAUAUGAGGAAGAAAUGCGCUCACUUGAUUUUGGAAUGUUUGGAUUUCUGUUUCAAAACUUGAUUUUCUUACAGUCAGACAUAUUACAUUCUUUAUAUGGCUAAUAAAAAGAAAAUACAAUGUU